rnacentral:rRNA from 1 species
UACAGAGAGUGCAAGCGUUAAUCGGAAUUACUGGGCGUAAAGCGCAUGUAGGUGGAUACUUUAGUCAAGUGUGAAAGCCCUGGGCUUAACCUGGGAAUUGCGCCUGAUACUGAGUAUCUCGAGUAUGGUAGAGGGGAGUGGAAUUUCCGGUGUAGCGGUGAAAUGCGUAGAUAUCGGAAAGAACACCAGUGGCGAAGGCGGCUCCCUGGACCAAUACUGACACUGAGGUGCGAAAGCGUGGGGAGCAAACAGG